GUACGGGACUUGGGGGCAACUCCAAGUUCAGUGGCAGACGGGUGCGUAACACGUGAAGAACUUGUCCGGUGGCGGGGGAUAGCCGGCCCAACGGCCGGGUAAUACCGCAUACGAUCGCGCGGGGGCAUCUCUGCGCGAGGAAAGCAGCCGCAAGGUUGCGCCGACGGAGAGCUUCGCGGCCUAUCAGCUAGUUGGCGGGGUAAUGGCCCACCAAGGCGACGACGGGUAGCUGGUCUGAGAGGAUGAUCAGCCACAUUGGGACUGAGACACGGCCCAGACUCCUACGGGAGGCAGCAGUGGGGAAUAUUGCGCAAUGGCCGCAAGGCUGACGCAGCGACGCCGCGUGUGGGAUGACGGUCUUCGGAUUGUAAACCACUGUCAGGGGGAACGAAUACAGGGCGUCGAAUAGGCGACCCCUGGGUGACGGUACCUCCAAAGGAAGCACCGGCUAACUCCGUG
rnacentral:rRNA from 1 species